AUGAACCAAGUCAAACUGGGGAGCUGGAAUUCUGGACGAGAUCACCUGAUGCCUGAGUUUCUGGGGCUGCUUCCCCCUCUCCAGGUGGGAACUUGCUGCCGUCUGGAACCUAAAUGGGGUUUGAGUGCUGACCCUCUGUUGGUGGCCAGACACAUCUUCCCUCCUCCCCACCUGCCCUAUUUUGCCAAGGAGAGGUGCUGCCUAUGUGCCAGUCUUGGGUUGUAACAAGUUGCUUUACUAAUUUUCUUUUCGUCUACACUUACAUUCAGAUGCAAUCUCUCUCAUUAUACCUCUCCAAAUGGUCAAUAUUUUAAUAGUGACCAUUAAAAUCCACCAAUAUUUUAAUAGUGUUCUGCUCUGAUUUAGAACUUCUGCUCUCACUUCAAAUUUACUGAGGACCCUCAUAACAACAACAACAAUAAAGAGCAACUGCUGGUAGACCA
rnacentral:lncRNA from 1 species